UUAUGGUUGAUUUGAAUACUCGUA
rnacentral:siRNA from 1 species